rnacentral:rRNA from 1 species
AACGAACGCUGGCGGCAGGCUUAACACAUGCAAGUCGAACGGGUGUAGCAAUACAUCAGUGGCAGACGGGUGAGUAACACGUGGGAACCUUCCUAGGGGUACGGAACAACUCAGGGAAACUUGAGCUAAUACCGUAUACGUCCGUGAGGAGAAAGAUUUAUCGCCCUUAGACGGGCCCGCGGCGGGUUGGCUAGUUGGUGGGGUAACGGCCUACCAAGGCUACGAUCCGUAGCUGAGCUUAGAGGAUGAUCAGCCCCACUGGGACUGGGACACGGCCCAGGCUCCUAAGGGGGGCAGCAGUGGGGAAUCUUGGACAAUGGGCGCAGGCCUGAUCCAGCGAUGCCGCGUGAGUGAAGAAGGUCUUCGGACUGUAAAGCUAUUUUGCCAGGGACGAUAAUGACGGUACCUGGAGAAUAAGCCCCGGCAAACUUCGUGCCAGCCGCCGCCGUAA